rnacentral:rRNA from 1 species
UACGGAGGGGGCAAGCGUUGUCCGGAAUUAUUGGGCGUAAAGAGCGCGUAGGCGGUCCGAUAAGUCGGCUGUGAAAGUCAGGGGCUCAACCCUUGGAAGCCGGCCGAUACUGUCGGACUAGAGUCCGGAAGAGGCGAGUGGAAUUCCCGGUGUAGCGGUGAAAUGCGCAGAUAUCGGGAGGAACACCAAUGGCGAAGGCAGCUUGCUGGGACGGUACUGACGCUGAGGCGCGAAAGCGUGGGGAGCAAACAGG